GACAAAUUUCGCAUGUGAUAGUUUUUCGGAAAGCCCAAUGAGAGCCCUCCGACGAAAGAAGCAAGCCAAUACCAUUGUUUUUUUUUCGACUCCAAAUUUUGAUCUUUAGGUACUUUUUUGGGCCUUUUCGUUCCGUGCUACAUUACGGGACCAAAAUUAUUUAUUUGGACGUUGUUUUCACAUUUUUUCAUGUAUCAAGCCUGUUUGAGACUAGAUGGGUUGUCCAUACAUAGCGGGUGGGAUCCACGGCGAAUGGUUCCUAAAGUCGCCAAAAAGUAUAAAUACGAUUGCAUUGCAUGUACUUACGGAUGCGAUCAUACCAACAAUAAUGCACCGGAUCCCAUCAGAACUCCGCAGUUAACAUGCUUGGACAUGAGGAGUACUACGAUGAGUGAACUCCCGGGAAGUCCUCCAAUUGCAUCCCUCCUUUUUCUUUUUUCUUUUUUGUUAAAAACUUUUUUGACUCAUUAACUUGUACACCGA
rnacentral:rRNA from 1 species